AUGAGGUCAUAGGGAAAAACGCGGGCUGGGAAACAAUGGAGGGAGGUGCUGGUAACGGCCGGGGUGGGGGACACCCCCCAGCCUGGGGCUUCCCCAGGGACCCCCACGUCUGCUGGGACCCCCCCUCUGCCAGGAUCCCACCUUCCCUGGGACCCCCACCUGUGCCAAGACCCCAACUCCAUCAGGACCCCCAUCUCCUCCAGGACCCCCAUGACCACUGGGACCCCCCCCUCCUCCAGGACCCCAACUGCCUUGGGACCCCCAGCACUGCUCCCCCAGCUCUGUUCAGGACAGACCAAGAGCAUGAGCAUUCCCAAUGCUUCUUCUUUCCCUCUUUCCCAAGGUUUGAACUCCAGUGAGGGCUGGAGCAUCCCUCUUUCUCCCAGCCUGGUGUUUCAGUCCGGGCUGGAAGCAGGGGCAGGAGUGGGGCUGGAUUUCGAACACAAAUCAGCAUCUCACAGCAUGUUUUGUUUUUCUCCUUCCUUUCAGGACAUAAUUUGUCCCAGCUCAGCUCUGCCAGUGGAUGGACAAAUCCUCUGUGGGGUCUGCAGCUCCUUCCGCCUGAAUCUGGCAUUGCUGGUGUGUCCCUGGAGGUCAGAGACCCUUGGGAAUUUGGGGGGGAUGUCUUAAAUCAGGUCUUGGUGAAGAUUUCACAAAAUCCCUCCAGUGGCCUCGGUUCUGGGUGGGGAGAAAAACCCUUUGGAGACCAGGGAAAUGAAUCCCGACUGGGAGGACCCCCGGGGCCUCCCAAGUCAUUAAACAAAUUAAGUUGUUUAGAAGAAGGAGGCCCAGGUGACUGGGUGUGAAACCCCCCUGAGGCCUCGGUAAUUGCUGUGCAAAGGCAGCACUGGUGGGUGGAAAGGAGACAAAGGGGUUUUAGGGGAUUUUUCCUCCCCUGGUGCAGCCGGCAGCAGCUCCAGCCCAGUUUGGCUUCCUGGGGAGACUCUGCUGUGCUGGGAGCAGGAGCCUGGGCUGGGAUGCCUGAUGGGAUGCUCUGGUCCAGCGAGGGGCUGUGCUGUCCCUGCCCUAUGGGAUGGGAAAGAGCUCCCCAGUCCUCCCCAGUGGGCUCCAGUUCUUUAAGUGGACCUCGGCUCCCAAUCCGUGGCCUCUGACACCAGUCCUGGCUCUCACUGCUCCAAAGAGCUAAUAGGAAUAAUUUUUUCCUGUGUAAAUGUUUUUCCCGUCUGGAAAGGUGAGCAGAGCCCACCUCCACACUGAACACCUGCAUGGCUCCAGAGGGAAGCACCAGCAACACCUCCCAUGGCUCCAGAGGGAAACAGGGGAGGUGUUGCUGGGCCUUUCCUUUAGCCAAGGAAUGGAGUAGAACUCCUGGACUCUGCUGCCUCUCCAUUCUCAGGGUUAGCUGUGCUCAGACAGGUAAGAUAACUGAUCAGGUGAAGCAUUGGUGUUUCCUUGGAUGCUCUGGAGCUGCAGGAGGGACCAGGAGCCUCCAUGGGCACAGGGACCCCCAGCUCUGGUUUUCCCAAGUCCUGUGUGCUCAGCACUGGCUGGGCAGUUCCUACUGGAAAUUCAUUUCUAAGGGAUAUCAACCCAUCAGGUCCUUUUAAUUAUUAGUUGAUCAGCACUUCUCAAAUCAAGAUACCUCAUAAUACCAGCAGGAAACACCAACUUCUGUUCCAACACUGCGAGCUGGGAGGGGACGAUGCCCCUUCCUGAGCCACAUGCUGAGUAUUUAUUAACAAAUAUUUCAUUUUAUUAUUUAAUACAGCCAGGACCAGCUCCAUGGGCUGUGCCUCAGCUUGGACCCAGGCAGGCUGGACUGAGAUAUUCCCAUUUGGGAUGGGGUGCAGUGGACACUGAGGGGUCUGUGCAGGGUGUGGGGCUGCCGUUGGCACAGCGAGCGUGGAAAACGCUGCUGAGACCCGACAAGGGGCUGAGAUUCCUUCUGCAGUGGGGGUGGCUUCUCUCUGGUCCUUUCCCCGCCCUCCCCCUCUCCUUGAAGCUCUCCCAGACAAGUGCUGGUUUAUUGCCCGUGGUUUCCCAGCUGCACAAAGGCCGCCUUGUGCCGCCGAGCUCCAGAUGUUUCACAUCUUACAGGAACUCGGUCACAAGGUACCUGUUCCACUGGAGCACCAGCUGCCCUGGCUGGGGACAGAGCUGCCUCCCAGCCUUGGCUGGCACAUCCCAGCCCCGGGGAGGGCAGGAGGUACCUGGUGCACUCGCUGGUGCUCCCUGUUUGGGGGUGUCACACGUGGGGCAGGAUGGGAGGUGCUGCCUCCCCUGGGGCAGAUCCUGGGAGGAGAGUUGGAAGGGGUCACACCAGGGAUUUUUUUUUUUUCACAGAAUCAUGGAAAUCACAGGAUUGGGAGAGACCUUAAAGCUCACCCAGUCCUGCCCCCUUCCAUGGGCAGGGACACUUCCCACUAUCCUAGGUUGCUCCAGCCUGGCCUUGGACACUUCCAGGGAUCCAGGGGCAGCCACAGCUUCUCUGGGCAACCUGUGCCAGGGCCUCCUCACCCUCACAGGGAGGAAUUUCUUCCCAAUAUCCCAUCUAGAAGGUGAUCCCAGGACUCUGCUGCCAGCUGGGGAUGGAUCCCAAGGGUUGUGAUCCUGUGGGAGAGGGAUGUCCUGGCUCUGCUCCAUCCCCACCCCAUUCCUUUGACUGCAAUCCCUUAAUUGUUUCCAAAAAGCACAUGACAAAAGGCAGGGAGAUAAUUACAGAGCCUUUCCCCCCCCCCUUAUCUCGAGGAGAGUGUUGGGCAAACAGAAAACAGAGGAUUAAUCCUGCCAGUGGCUGAGGCUUCUCAGAGCAGCACUGGAGGGCAGGCAGGGCUGAUUUACUGCCCUGUUCACAGCUAUAUACAGCUUUUUAUUACAACUGCAAUUAUCCCUCUCCAUCAGGAUCUCCCAGGGAUGUCAGGUGGCACCAGACCUUCCCUCUGCUGAGGCUGCCUGGUGUGCCCAGGCAUUUGGGGACACAGCCUGGGGACACAGUGGCUCUCAGCAGGCUGUGACCCCCUGCCUUGCCAUGGACCUGCCCUGCAGAUGAGCCCCUGAGCUCUGCAGAUCCCUGGCAGGAGGCUGGAGCCAGGUGGGCAUCGGAGUCUUCUCCCAGGUUUUGGCAUCUGCUGCCUCAGGAACGACAAAUUCCAUCGGCCACAACUGCCGUGGGACUGUCGCUGUGCCAGAAGUGAGGAGACCAGAGCCUGACCAUGUGCAGGAUUGGGGCUUGUUCCCCCUCCACCAACAGUCCUGAGCUGAGAGGAUUUGUCUGUGGAUGGUUCCUCUGCCCUGGGAUCUCUGACAUCAUAAACCCUCCUGGACUGCUGUGGGUUUUGGAUGCUCCCUUCUGUUUGUAGCUGGGAAUGGCACAGCCAGGAGGCUGCAGGCCCCUGCUCCUCUCCAGACCUGGUGGAUUACUGCUCUUGGCAUCGUUGUGGUGGAACUGGCUUGGACAGGUGAAGUCUCCCAAUGGACAGAUGUGGAAAAGCAGUUAUACAGCCCCUCUUUUCCUGGGCUGCUGUGGGCAUCGUGGCUCUGGAGGAGGAAGGAGAACAUGCACAAGUGUAGGACAAAUCCUGCUGCUUUUAGGUCCUGGACUCGUGAGAACUCCCAAUGACUUGGCAGAUGCCUGUGAAUCACUGACGUUCUGCUGCCACCUCCACCCACCCGUGGCUGUCCCCUGAGUGCUCCCUCCCCGGUGUCAGCUCACAGCCUACGUGCUGAGAAGAGAAGUUAAAAAGGAGGCUGGGUGUCCCUUCUCCAGAGGAGCCCUGGGAUCCCCACCGAAGAUGAUGAGGACAAUGAUGAAGAGCCCGAGUCUGGAAUGGCUUCACACAGCCCCUGGGAUGUGCAGGAGGGAGUGCUGGUGACCACUUCAUUUCCCAGUCCUAUUCCUGGUGCACUCCAAAUCCCAAGACUUCCUUCCAGCCCUUCUCAAGCAGCAGCACAAACAUGCUGGACCCUCAUCCCCACGUCCAUGGCUGAGGGGAACACACAGCAGAGGAAAGAGAAGCUUCAAAGACUCACAACGACCAAGAGCCUCUCCUGCUUUUGCCCUCACUCCUCGAAAUUCCAGCUGAUUUCCAGUGAUGUGAUUUCAGCACUUCCACUGGUGUGAGCCUGGAGGGUGACACUCCCUGCAGCAACACUGACACAGACUUCAGGCUCUCCAUGGACCAUUUUCAUGUAUCCCAGAGGACUUCAGCAUCCAGGGCAAACAGGCUGUUGCAGAAGGUCAUGUUGGCAUCUGAUGCUUGACAUGAAGCUUGUAAGUCACUGAUGGUGGGGGAAGGAAAAGGAAAAAGGAAACCUCCCUGCUCACUUCAUCUUGCUUUCCUCACACUGAAUCUGAGCUCAUCUCUGAGGUGAAGAAGGUAGAAACUUCACCUCGAGGAGGAAAGGUUGGGAGAAAGUGGCCCAGCAGUGAACAUUCCCCCUAGUGAACACCAAAUUUUUAGUAAAAGCUCUGCUGUCUGCUUGCAAGCUCAUUUUUAAGGGCUAAAUUUAGUGGCACAUCUUGCAGUGACGUGUGUGGAGGAGGACUUUGGGAUGACACAUGGAUCAGCCUCAUUCCUGCGUGGGAAACUUCCAGGCUCUGCUACUUUCACUGUCUGGAACAAAUGAGCACCUUCCUGCUGAUGCCAUCAGGCCAUGUGAGCACCAGCCAGACCUGGAAAGGUGCACGUUCUGGGGAGCUGGAGGAGUGGGAGGUUGUGUAAUUCACUGGCAGAGCUGUGUGUAUCUAUUUGCAAUCCAUUGUAUCCUGCUAACAGGCUUAGCUCCACAUCAGUAAUGGGAUUUAGUCACCCACCUCCUUGUAAUUACUUUGGUAUGCAGAUGUUUAAUUACAUUUCGUCCUCAGCUAAGCUGGGUCCGUCCUUCUGCGUUUGUCGCUGGCCGAGGCUGGGCACGAAGAUGUGCAGCAGCUUCCAGGCACCUGCCAGUUCCUGGUGUUGAUCAGAUCUUCAUUUUUUCAGCUCAGCUGGCCAAGUUACAAGUGCUAAAGUUGGUGAUCUUGCAUUCAGAUCUAGCCCAGCCUGAGUUCAUAAUGGCACAGUCACUGCACUGUCAACAAGCACCUUCAAACAGGAAUGACAGUGCCCUGAAGCCUUCUGAUGUUGCUUUUGUGGUGACAGUGACUCAGAAAAGCUGGAAACCUCCAGAUUCUUUGGCCACGUGGGAUGUCCCACUGAUGCUUUGAGGGUCUCACUCUUGGGUGAGACUUUGAGUCCCAUCAGUGCAAAGGAUGAGUGGGUGGGUGGACUCUCUUUAAGAAGGUCCAUCCACUGGUGAAGCUGGUCUUAUGGAAUCAUGGAAUUGUUAAGUCUGGAAAAGACCUUUAAGAUCAUCAGUUCCAACUGUCAAAUGUUUCUCCAGCCAUGCAAUGUUUUCAGCAACUUCACUUAAACCCUCAGUGCACAUCAAUUAAACCCUGACCACAACAUACAACAACCAGGUAAGAGCUAGAGCGAGGCCCCAAGAUCCUGGUUUUUAGGGCAGUUUUGUGGCCAGGCUUGGCAACCUGUUUAGUGGUGCCCUGUGAAACACUGAGGGCACCAUAACAGCUCUGUGGGGUUGUUUUUUAGGACAUGAGGAUGACAAAGUUAUCAACCCUGUGACAACUGGAUUCUCAGCUGGUGUUCCCAUGGCCUCACCUGUAGAUGUUUCUCCACGUGAACUCAUCGUCAGUGCAUCACCAGAGACAAUCCCCUCGAGGCACCUGGUGGCAUCAGCCCCUUCUGCACUGCGUGUGUCACAGAUCAAGUCCCUGCAAGCCUCAUCCAGCGUGGCUCGGGCGUUACUCACCGUGUUUACUUUCCAUCCACCUCUCCUGCAGAGCAGGGCCCGCCGUGCCAGCUGACAAACACCAUCCCAGCGGUGUGGAAGGGACCUGUGGGGUGCUGCCUGAUGUGCCAGGUCGUGUCAGUCCUUCCUAUGAGGACCCUCAGUCUCUCCAAACAGAAUAAAUUUUGCCUUUUUUUUUUUUUUUUUCCAUUGCUGCAGCUUCCAGGAGUGUAAAUAGAAAUGGAUUCUUUUUGUUUUUCCUGAAACUUUAGAUUCUUAAUUUGUGAAGUGACAAAAGAAAAUCGCAAAGAGUUGAAUGCAUCUGGCAACAUCUUCACUUUAAAAAAAAGUCAAACUUGGAAGGAUGUUUCCAAGAGAAUAUGGGAAAAUGUAUUAUCUGCUCCAUUUGAAAAGGAAUUGCCUCUAAUUGACAAGAUGCAGAGGGGAAACUGUUGCUCUUAUUUAAACACAGCCCAAACCUGCAGCUUAUAAACUUAUUGUUAAUCUCAGGCUGGCGGUUUCUGCUCCUUUUCACUUUUCAUUUCCAAUCUGUUUGGGUUAUUUUUUUCCUCCCUUUUAUUGUCAUGCCCAGCUCUUUCUCUGUCUCAGGUAGGUGGUCAGCUUUUUGAAACUUGUGUCAUCUUGCACCCAGAAUCUGUGCUGUUGCACCAAAAUAUCCCAGGAUCAUUUGGAUGUUUGGGAGGCUGCUGUUCAUGCACCUUCUCUGCAGUAUCUGGUCCAAAAAAAUAAAACAAAACCCAAGGUGCAGGCCGGUGUGAAAUGGAGCAGGAUGUUAAACGGGCAACCUACGUCAGCAAGGAGCUUGCUCUCAGUCAGCCAUCCACCUGGAAUACCUGGGGGCAAGGAAGGAGGCCCCGGGAACGUGUUGGAACAGAGAGGAGCCACCUCGGAGAGGAGCUGCCACCCAGCCAGGGCAAAGCGGCUUUGGAGCUGCUCAAACAUCUCCUGCUUGAUCCCCUCCCACCAGGAGCAGGAUGAAAAUGUCCAUUCCAAGAGAUUCCCCCCCACCCCCGCCACCCCAGCAGGUUUAUUAUCCUAAUUGACUUACAGUGCUCGCUGCUAAAUUAACCUGCUUGGAAAUGUGAUUGGCACUGGGAAUUUUCCACUUUAUGACAGACUUUAUAAUAAAGAAUUGGAGAAAUCAUAAAUAGCAGCGGUAUUAGAUCACUGGUGCCCAUGAACUCACCUCAUUUAAAGAAUGGUGUAGAAAAGAGGGUUUUCUUUCUGAUGGUGCAUCCUUAAGAAGCGUGUCUGUGUUACUCUUUUGCCACAAUUCAAUUACUGUUUAUAAGAACUUCUGCUUUGUCAAAAAAAGAGAAAAACCCCCCAAUUAUAAGAAAUCCACUUCAGUGUUUUCCAUAAGCUCCUAGCCAAGUUGGCCAAGAACUAAGGCAAGGAGCAGGAAAAAAAAAAAAGGUAUAUGUUGUAUACUCACUUAAAACUUGGCUAGAAAUGACCUUUUAUUGUCUUUUUUUUUUUUUUUCCAUGCCCAACUUGGCUCCUCGAGCCAAACUCAUUGCCAACUUUCUACAGUGUGUUAUUUCCCUAUAUGUGUUAAAAAACAUUUAAAAAGCUGCCCCACAAGGGUUCUACCGAGGUUUUGCAUGGACAAGGAUGGAGGAGCCUGGCUUUGAGAGCAUCACUGAUGAAGACACCACAAUAAAACCUGGAUAUUUACUGUUUGGAGGGUGGUUUUUUUUUUUUGUGGCUCUUUUUAUCCCCCCCACUCCUGCUCCUUGUGCAGCCCAACAUGGCAAGGUCUCCAAGUGGGCUGUGCUGACAGAUGCAGCUGGAGACAGCCAUGUGAUGUUAAUAUAAACCUCCUCUGGCAGCUUGGAGAGGCACCAGGAAAGCUCCAGAGUGUUUCCUGCAGCGCCUGGCUCCGCUCGGUGCCACUCAGCCCCUGGGCCCGCUGGCUGGGUCACCACAACGUGUCCUCCUGUGUCUGGGCACACCCCUGGCUUUUCAUACAUAAAAAAAAAAAAAAAGAAACAAACCCAAACCAAGCAAUUCUGGGUUCCAAAAAAGCAACCCCCCCCAAAGCGGUUCCUGUCACUCCGGCUCAUCCGUGAGCGUCCGGCCGAGGUGACGCCGGAGUCACGGUGGAAUAAAACCUGCAGCAGACUUUACAUCUGAAGGGCAUUUUCUCUUGGAAUCCCUCAUUAAAAGCACCACUUUGGAAUAAAUGUAACGACCAACGUCUCAAGCAUAUUCUUAUUUGGGAUUGUUUCAUUCUGGAAAGGAAGAAAAAUGAUUUAAAAAUUUGGUAUUUCUUCUUGUGGUCGAGCACUUAAAGUCUGCAUUUCACUGAAUGUACUUCAGGGACACGUUUAGCUUUUUUUUUUUUUUUCCUUUUUUUAAUAUUUAAUUUCAUUUUUGGUUUUUAUGCAGCCCCACAAUGUUGUUCUUGUGGUGAACUGCCAUGGUGUUACCAACGCAUCUGAACCAUUGCAGGCAGAAAGGCAGCCACUUGAAAGCAACAAUGAGGGCAAGUCUGCCCCAGCUUUUAUUUCCUGUAUGUAUUUUGCCCUGUACAAAGUUAUACAAAAGGUAAAUCUUUCAGAUCUCCUGAUCCUGCAGCUGCUUAUAAAUACAUUUCAUUUUAUGGUGCAGCAGCACAAGCUGAAUGCAGCUAUAACACAGAAACAUAAGCUCUAACUUUUGAAUGUGCAUUUAGAAAUCCAGUGAUGGCAAAGGAAAUAAAAGUGAAAUUUCUGGGUGGGAUUGUUGGGCUGUCCUGGGCAGGGCCAGGGGUUGGACUGGGUGAUCCUUGUGGGUCCCUUCCAACUCAGCUUAUUCUAAGAUUUUGUGAGUCUCACCUUGCCUGGCAUCUCUGCAGCAGUGAAUGUAACUCAACAGAAGCUCCUCCCUGUGGAUCAGCCCUUACCUUUCUCCUGCUCAGAGACUGCAGAAAGCCAGAAUCAAUCAACUGAAGGAUUUAUAUUGGAACUAGAUCCCCAUGGAUCAGAACUUGAAUAACACCUCCAUCCCUACCCGAAUCUUCCAGGCCUGACCUUUCACAAUCUCCAUUUCCUGACCAAUGACUCCAAAGAAAAUAGAGCUGCUCGUUGACAUUUAAUGGAAAUCUGCACAAAACUUGUCAAAAUACCCCCCCCCCACCCCAUCAGCUGCCUGGGACAAGACCCCUACAGUAGUUUCCAGAAACCCCGUGCAAUUACUUACAUUUUAAAUUAUCUUUAAUUGUCGCAUGUGAGCUACAGAAACAUUUUUCCCCACUCUCAGGCAAGACCCCGCUAUUAAGAGUCACCCCAUAAUUGCAGGUUUAAUGGGGGACCGUGGCAGGUCAGGCCUGAAGGUGAGCCCAGAGCACAGCGGGGCGAGAGCGGCUGCAGAGCCCAGUAACUGGAAGUGACACAUCACAACAGUCCCAUCAAUUAUGAGGGGGCAGUUUGGAGUGUAAACUUUUUAGGGUCUCUAAUUACCCCGCCAGAUGUUUUAAUCCGAUCUCCUCGGCCCUGCCCUGCCAGCAAACACUGGCAUUGUCUGAGCUCCUGGGAUUAAAAAGUCGCUUUUUAACCGAGAGUGAACUUGUUGAGGGUUGGUUUUGUUGGUGUGGGGGUUUUUUUGGUUUGUUUUUUUGUUUUUGUUUUUUUUUUUUUUGCAGGAAUUGAGCAUCCUUUUUGAGAGAUUAUUCAGGUUCAUGGUGGUGGGAUUGCACUGAAUGAGAAUGAACACGCUGGGGAAGCGAGGAGGGUGUCACAGAGGGUGCAAGACUGACGGGAAAUAGCCGAGCUGGUGUCAGUGUGCUCGGGAGCUGAGUGACAACUGUUACCCCGGUGAUGCCGAACUCGGGCAGGGCCUGUCAAGAGCAUUAGAGAUGCUGCACCAGAUUUUCCCAGGCUGUUUGCAAGCUGACCCAAUGUUCCUGCUGACACAAACCCCAAAAGCUGAACCCGAUUCGCUCACAGAUUGGGGGCAGAUGAGAGCGAGAAGGAAACUGCUUGUGUGUGAGAUGUCUGUGCAUGCAGGAGAGGGGAAAAUGGUGAAUUAACUGGGUAUUCAGAUGCAGGAUAUCACCUUCCAGAAGUGUGGAGCAGGGAAGGAACCUGGCAGCACUGGGAGCAGUUUCCCUUCACUCACUAAACCCCGGUUUUGGGUCAGUGGGAAACCUGGGUGCGCACGUGCAACACAUCGACUGCAGUGCCUGGAAAAAUCCCCAUCUUUGACAACUUAAACCCCUGACAUGAUCAAAACCACAACCCAGACCGGGGGAGUCUCAAACUGCUCUUUGUUAAAAAACUCCAGCUGAACAGUUUGAUGGGUUUUAUUUUCAACAACUUAUCACGCCGAGGGUUGCUGUUCUUCCCUCCUCGCCUCGUCCUGUUCCCAGGUGAGAGAACACUCAGAGCUCAGCAGGCAAACACUCCAGGGGUGGAACAUGCCAAGCAAACAACGAAACAAGGCUGUUUAUAAAGCCUUCAACACGUUGGGCCGUGGAGAGGAGCCCAACUUUCCACGUAAGGGCCCGAACGGACGAGAAUGACGUGAAACACAUGGAAAAUAUGGAAAAUGUGGAAUAAGUAAUAAAAUUAUAAAUAAAACAAAUACAA